GAUGAACGCUGGCGGCGUGCCUAAUACAUGCAAGUCGAGCGAACAGACGAGGAGCUUGCUCCUCUGACGUUAGCGGCGGACGGGUGAGUAACACGUGGAUAACCUACCUAUAAGACUGGGAUAACUUCGGGAAACCGGAGCUAAUACCGGAUAAUAUAUUGAACCGCAUGGUUCAAUAGUGAAAGACGGUUUUGCUGUCACUUAUAGAUGGAUCCGCGCCGCAUUAGCUAGUUGGUAAGGUAACGGCUUACCAAGGCGACGAUGCGUAGCCGACCUGAGAGGGUGAUCGGCCACACUGGAACUGAGGCACGGUCCAGACUCCUACGGGAGGCAGCAGUAGGGAAUCUUCCGCAAUGGGCAAAAGCCUGACGGAGCAACGCCGCGUGAGUGAUGAAGGUCUUCGGAUCGUAAAACUCUGUUAUUAGGGAAGAACAAAUGUGUAAGUAACUAUGCACGUCUUGACGGUACCUAAUCAGAAAGCCACGGCUAACUACGUG
rnacentral:rRNA from 1 species